GACGAACGCUGGCGGCGUGCUUAAUACAUGCAAGUCGAACGGAAAGGCCCUGCUUUUGCUGCUUUCUCGAGUGGCGAACGGGUGAGUAACACGUGUGUAACAUGUCCUUGUAUUUGGGGUAACAUCAGGGAACUGGGGCUAAUACCGGAUAGGAGCUCUUGAUGCACGGUGGGGGUUGGAAAAUGCCGGCUGUACGGGAUGGAUUCGCGGCUUAUGCGCUGGUUGGUGGGGUAGGUGCGGACGAAGUGUACGAAGGGUAGCCGGCCUGGGAGGGUGGACGGCCACAUGGGUACUGAGAGACGGAGCAGUCGCCUACGGGAGGCAGUAGUGGAGAGUAUUGCGCAGUGGGCCGAAGUGUGAUGCAGCAGCGUCGGGUGCGUGAUAACGGCCUAUGGGUUAUAAACCGAUGUCGACUGUAACGUAGCGGGAUUGACGGUAAUGGGUAAGAAAGCACCGGCUAACUACGUG
rnacentral:rRNA from 1 species